GGGCGCAUAGCUCAGUGGGAGAGCACUCGCCUUACAAGCGAGGGGUCGUAGGUUCGAACCCUACUGCGCCCACCA
rnacentral:tRNA from 2 species